rnacentral:rRNA from 1 species
AAUGGGCGAAAGCCUGAUCCAGCGACGCCGCGUGGGUGAAGAAGGCCUGCGGGUUGUAAAGCCCUUUCGGUAGGGACGAAAGCUCUUGCUCCAACACAGCAGGAGGUUGACUUAACCUACAUAAGAAGCACCGGCUAACUCUGUGCCAGCAGCCGCGGUAAUACAGAGGGUGCGAGCGUUAAUCGGAAUUACUGGGCGUAAAGCGCACGUAGUCGGCUUUGCAAGUCGGGUGUGAAAUCCCCGGGCUCAACCUGGGAACUGCAUCCGAGACUGCAUUGCUAGAGUAUGGGAGAGGGAAGCGGAAUUUCUGGUGUAGCAGUGAAAUGCGUAGAUAUCAGAAGGAACAUCAGUGGCGAAGGCGGCUUCCUGGACCAAUACUGACGAUCAGGUGCGAAAGCGUGGGGAGCAAA